AGAUGAUUCUAUAUCUACCUGAGAGAAGGCUGUGGGAUGGAAUCUGGAUUAGCAGUGCACGUAAGCGCGCACUAUGACCCGACGUCAGGACAACAGUGCAGCGCGCAGAGAUGAAGGAGCUGUGGAGCCACAUCCGUACUGGAGACAAAUGUUGAGGACUCUCGAAGUGGAGAACCCAUGGAGUUGAAGAAUAUGAAUGAGGCAUUUAGAUUUAAUCUCCCCUGGAGUUAGC